rnacentral:rRNA from 1 species
AACGAACGCUGGCGGCAGGCCUAACACAUGCAAGUCGAGCGCACCUUCGGGUGAGCGGCGGACGGGUGAGUAACGCGUGGGAACGUGCCCUUUUCUGCGGAAUAGCCUUGGGAAACCGAGAGUAAUACCGCAUACGCCCUUCGGGGGAAAGAUUUAUCGGAGAAGGAUCGGCCCGCGUUGGAUUAGGUAGUUGGUGGGGUAAUGGCCUACCAAGCCGACGAUCCAUAGCUGGUUUGAGAGGAUGAUCAGCCACACUGGGACUGAGACACGGCCCAGACUCCUACGGGAGGCAGCAGUGGGGAAUCUUAGACAAUGGGGGAAACCCUGAUCUAGCCAUGCCGCGUGAGUGACGAAGGCCUUAGGGUCGUAAAGCUCUUUCGCCAGGGAAGAUAAUGACGGUACCUGGUAAAGAAGUCCCGGCUAACUCCGUG